ensembl:lncRNA
UUUCUGAACACAGAUAUGGAGAUUUACUGUCUAAGAUCUGAAUAUGUUUUAUUCACCCUCAUGUAAAACUGAGGAUUGACAUAAUGAGCACAGUCCAAACUCCAAAAACAUGAGAUGUAGAUCAAUUAAAAAGAAGUUCAGCAUCAGUUACUAGUUGUACGGUAAUUCACUUGCUCAACUAGCUCAGCUGGUUCAUUUUUCUUUCAGGGUUUCAUUUUCCCAUAAGUCUUAUUUCUGACAUGAUCAACAGAUUCUGAAAACAGAAAUAAAAAAUGAUUUCAAAGACAACGCCUCUUUAAAACAAAACCAAAGGGACAGCUGCAAGUUUGUGGUUGCAUUCUUUUGCACAUGCAGUUGAAAUGUUUGUGCAAAUAAUAAAAAUAAAGUGCAAAAAAAUUGCAUAAUAUAUAUGCUAUAUUAACAUAUUUCACUUGUAUACAGUAUGCAUGUAUAUGCUAUAUUAACAUAUUGAAGUUUUAAUAAAACACUUCUGGUCACAGUGGUGUGUCCAACCACAAAGAUGUAAAAAAAAAAAAAAAAUGUACAUGCUAAUAAUUCUUCGGCAGUAAUUAAACCAAUAGAUGACUAUUGUGUGUUUUCCUUUCCUGGAAUUCAUAACAAGAUGAAUUGUCACGAAGAUGUCAUUUCCUCCAUCAGAUACAGUAUAGAUACUACAAUAAAGAAACCUGUUCCCAGAUGCAGAGGACAUCAGUUCUGAUCAGGAUGUCUCUCACCUCUCUGCUUUUGGCCGAGCUCCUGCUUCUCACCACAGUAAUGGCCUCACACUUCUAUGGCGGCUCGAUGACCUUCAACCCGAGAAGGAAUCAUGAUGGAUCAUACAAGGUGGAACUUCGCUUCAAGGCGACCUACCAUUCCUGUAGCGAAUAUGAUUACUGGCCGUGUAGCUCUGGAGACUGUGGAAAUGAUGUCAGUACUGUGACUGGUCAAGUAGAUUCGAGUCCCAAUGGCAACAGCUGGUGUCAGUCUGAGGGAGUGAUAACAAAGAUGCUUUCCACCAACAGCCCAUUCCAGCUCCUCAAAAGCAGUUGCUGCUGGAUCUACAACACAGUCACAAAUUCUGGAGGCUGGAGUCUUCUAACUUACAUUGACCUUGGAGUGAGAUCGGACACCUCAGAGCCUAACCGAUCACCAAUAACCACCACCCUACCAUUUGUUAGAGUUCCUCAGAACUGUCCCAGGAGGUACAAUCUUUUAGCCUUUGAUCCUGAUGGUGACCAUGUCAGAUGCAGAUUUGGACUUGGACAAAACCAGGAGUGUGGAAUCUGCAACCAACCUGCUGGUUUUAUAUUGGAUCAGAAUAACUGCUCUCUAUCAUAUUCACACACCUGGGUGCCUGGAGUUUAUUCAUUUGAGCUGGUGCUGGAGGAUUUCCCCAUUCAAAAGAUUACUCUGUCCUACACCAACCAAUUUUCAAAGGAAAUAUCUCCAAUCAGUUUCAUCAGAAGCCGACGUGCUGUUAAUUAUCAUGGAACUGCAGCUAUACCACCUCAAGCAUUCUCACAUACAACAAUUCGUACAACAACAACACCUACAACAACCACUACAACACGUUCAACAACACCUACAACAACCACUACAACACGCUCAACAACUCGUACAACAACACCUACAACAACCACUACAACACGUUCAACAACACCUACAACACCCACUACAACACCUCCAACAACACCUACAACAACUCCUACAACCCCAACAACAACAACUACAACAACUCGUUCAACAACACCUACAACAACCACUACAACACGUUCAACAACACCUACAACAACUCCUACAACACCUACAACAACUCCUACAACAACUCGUACAACAACACCUACAACAACCACAACAACACCUUCAACAACACCUACAACAACACCUACAACACCCACAACAACACCUACAACAACCACUACAACACCUUCAACAACACCUACAACAACCACAACAACCACUACAACACCUACAACAACACCUACAACAACACCUACAACAACACCUACAACAACCACUACAACACCUUCAACAACACCUACAACAACUCCUACAACACCUACAACAACUCCUACAACAACACCUACAACAACAACUACAACAACCACAACAACACCAACAACAACAACAACAACAACCACAACAACACCUACAACAACACCUACAACCACCACUACAACACCUACAACAACCACAACAACAACAACAACAACACCAACAACAACACCUACAACAACAACAACAACACCUACAACAACACCAACAACAACAACUACAACACCUAAUACAACACCUACAACAACACCUACAACAACAACUACCACACCUACAACAACACCUACAACAACCACUACAACACCUACAACAACACCUACAACAACCACUACAACACCUACUACAACACCUACAACAACCACUACAACACCACCAACAACAACACCUACAACAACCACUACAACACCUACAACAACCACAACAACACCAACAACAACACCUACAACAACAACAACAACACCUACAACAACCACUACAACACCUACAACAACCACAACAACACGUUCAACAACACCUACAACAACCACUACAACACGUUCAACAAUACCUACAACAACCACUACAACACCUACAACAACACCUACAACAACCACUACAACACCUACAACAACACCUACUACAACAACCACUACAACACGUUCAACAACACCUACAACAACCACAACAACACGUUCAACAACACCUACAACAACUCGUACAACAACACCUACAACAACACAGAUAUCAACCACAACAACACCGACUACAACCUCAACAACACCGUCAACAACGACAACCACUAUGUUACCAACAACAACCACUACAAUAACCACUACAUCACCAAUAACAACCACAACACCUUCAACAACCACUAUGUCACCAACGACAACACCGACACUACACCAACGACACCGACUACUCACCAACGACAACGACACUACACCGCCAGCAACCACAACAACCACAACACAACCAGCAACUACAACAACACCUACAACAAUUACUACAUCACCAACAACAACAACCACAACACUUACAACCACUAUGUUACCAACAACAACUACAAUAACCACUACAUCACCAACAACAACACCUACAACAACCACUAUGUUACCAACAACAACCACAACACCUUCAACAACCACUAUGUUACCAACAACAACCACAACACCUUCAACAACCACUAUGUCAUCAACAACAACUACCACAUUACCGAUGACAACCACUACACCACCAGCAACCACAACAACACCUACAACAACCACUACAUCACCAACAACAACCACUAUGCUACCAACAACAACCACUACAUCACCGACCACAACCAUUACAUCACUGACAACCACAAUGUCACCAACAACAACCACAACAACACCUAUGACAGCCACGACGACACCUACAAACACCACAACACCUACAAUAACUACAACUACACCUACAACGAUCACACCUGAACCCACUAAGACCACAUCUGAACUUACUACAACCACAAUACCCAGCACUACACAAACAACAAUCAUCUAUCCAAUAACAACCACUGCAGCAACAACAACAGCCUUACCACUGAGCAAAAUACCUCUUCAGUUUUCUCUUCAAGUUGAUGGUCCAGCACCAUCUUGCACUGAGGGAGAAUAUCUACCCCGGUUCCUUCACCCAACACCACAUCAUGGAGAACACCUGCAGGCUCGUGUAAAUGAAGAGCUCGAAAUCAGAGUGAAAGCUUUUGCAUCUUUUUCUAGAAUCAUUGAUGUCAUCAUUAGUGGACCACUGAACAGCACAAAGUACAAAACCACCACUGGGGAAUAUGUGAUCUACUGGACACCAACUGCAGAAAACUAUGGCCAACACUUUCCAUUUUGCUUCAUUGCAGAAGGACAAUACGGGUUUGAUAUUUACCAGUCUGAGAUGAGGUGUGUUGUUGCAAAGGUGAAUGCUGAAGGACCUGUGGCACAUGUAACCUGCACUCAAAACUCAAUGUCAGUGACAGUUGAGAGAUCCUCCAUCAAAAACCUCCACGGUGACAACUUGAGACUGAUAAAUCCAUCUUGUCGGGUUUACACCAACAGUACCUACGUGUUCACCAACACACUUCUAAAUGAAUGUGGUACUCAGAUUGAGGAGAACAAUAAUGAACUCAUCUUUAAGAAUAAAAUCAUUACAUUUGAUGAUCCCAGGGACAUUAUAACCAGAAAGAAUAAGCUAGAAAUCGAAAUUAUGUGCAAGUACCAGAAAAGGACCAAUGUUACAAUGGAGUUUGAUAUUCACAGACCACCAAUCAUCAUCUCAGAAAAAGGUUUUGGCACAUUUAACUAUCAGUUCGAGUUUUAUGCUUCUGAAAAUUUCCACACCAGCAGGGGUCCAGAAUCUUACCCGCUUGAGUACGAUGUGGGCGAUAAGAUCUACAUGAAGAUCGAGCCCGUCACUCCAGUUCUAAACACUGAGAUCUUCCUUGAGUCGUGUGUGGCUACACCUUAUGAUAAUCCCAAUUACCCAAUCUCCUAUCCCAUCAUAAAGAACGGGUGAGAUUCUACAAACAUUAUUGAUAAUUUACACUUUUUACUCAUGCCAAUAUUACACAUUACACUUGUCUUAUCAGUUUGUCACAAAUUAUUCAAGUGCUUUUCUGUAUUUCAGAUGCAACGUGAUAAAAAAUACAGUGAAAACAAGAAUAUUGUGAAAUAUUAUUACAAUUUAAAAUAUCUGUAUUCUUUUAGAACAUAUUUUAAAAUAUAAUUUAUUCCUGUGAUGUAAUUUAUUCCUGUGAUGUAAAGCUGAAUUUUCAGCAUCAUUACUCCAGUCUUCAGUGUUCUAAUAUGCUGAUUUGCAGCUCAAGGAACAUUUCUUAUUAUUAUAAGUGUUGAAAAUAGUUUUGCUGCUAAAAAACUGUGUGUGGAAAUAAUAAUAAAAAAAUUAAAAAAAUUCA